rnacentral:tRNA from 1 species
GGCCACGUAGCCAAGUGGUAAGGNNUGCAAAACUCCUAUGCGCCGGUUCGAUUCCGACCGUGGCCUCCA